rnacentral:rRNA from 1 species
AUUGAACGCUGGCGGCAGGCCUAACACAUGCAAGUCGAGCGGAUGAAGGGAGCUUGCUCCUGGAUUCAGCGGCGGACGGGUGAGUAAUGCCUAGGAAUCUGCCUGGUAGUGGGGGAUAACGUCCGGAAACGGGCGCUAAUACCGCAUACGUCCUGAGGGAGAAAGUGGGGGAUCUUCGGACCUCACGCUAUCAGAUGAUCCUAGGUCGGAUUAGCUAGUUGGUGGGGUAAAGGCCUACCAAGGCGACGAUCCGUAACUGGUCUGAGAGGAUGAUCAGUCAAAAUGGAACUGAGAAACGGUCCAGACUCCUACGGGAGGCAGCAGUGGGGAAUAUUGGACAAUGGGCGAAAGCCUGAUCAAGCCAUGCCGCGUGUGUGAAGAAGGUCUUCGGAUUGUAAAGCACUUUAAGUUGGGAGGAAGGGCAGUAAGUUAAUACCUUGCUGUUUUGACGGUACCAACAGAAUAAGCACCGGCUAACUUCGUG